rnacentral:lncRNA from 1 species
AGGUGAGCGACUUCGGCCCGGUGACUCUCCUCUGCUUGGAUGGCAUCCCUCCUCGCCCGGUUCGUCACCUCGAUGUUGGCAAGGAGCUGGUGCCUGAUCUACAAGGGCAGCUAGGAGGUCAGAACGAAGGUUGAGAAGCUAAUUAAAUGAAGGUGCAAAAGGAAGAAGAAAAGUGAAUCUGUUUAUCUCGAGAAAGGACCCUAGAGAGUCCCAAACCUGCUGUUCG